rnacentral:rRNA from 1 species
UACGGAGGGUGCAAACGUUGCUCGGAAUUAUUGGGCGUAAAGCGCACGUAGGCGGUCCGCUAAGUCGGGUGUGAAAUCCCUCGGCUUAACCGAGGAAGUGCAUUCGAAACUGGCGGGCUUGAGUACUGAAGAGGGUCGCGGAAUUCCCGGUGUAGAGGUGAAAUUCGUAGAUAUCGGGAGGAACACCAGUGGCGAAGGCGGUUCUCUGGGCAUGUCCUGACGCUGAGGAGCGAAAGUGUGGGGAGCGAACAGG